CACAAUUUCACUGGUAAAUUUUAUCCCUGAUGAAUUCAACUUUAAAAUGAGAAAGAGAGCCUGUCAAACACAGAAACAAGGGGGAUGAGAAAGCCAGCCUCUGACUAACACCCCAGCCAGGUUUAUGUAUGUACAAAACUCAUACUUGUAAGUACUUACUUAAUUGGGGAAAUUAUACUAAAGGAGAUCUCAACCUAAAAUGGCCAGAUUGGCAUCCUUUUGAUAUUCCAGAAUUGAUAUUUUUGUGUACACAGUCAGAAAAAGCUGGCUGUAAGAUCAAACAGACUAAAUGGAAUGCUUACUUUGAUUGGUAUCUGGAAGCUUCUAAAAGAGGAAAUGAUAGAGUAACUUCUUUGCAGGAAACCAACAAGAAAUUGCUUGAAACUAAAAAAAGGCCACUAGCUCUGACUCUGUCUCUCCCUCCCUGGCCCAGACACUAUCUCUUUUUCUCUUCUAACUCUUCCACUGCCUGUUGCUCUCUCUUCCCCAAUAUAGAAAAAAACAAAAAAAAUCAGAAGUGACUAUAGCUCCCUUUAAGGAGAUAUCUAUUGCAGGGAGAGGUGAACCAUCCUCAGUGCUUAUGUACACACACUGGACCUGAGCAGAACUUAGAGCCUUAGCUAAGACAACAAAUGCUAAAGGAUCUUCUCUAAGUGGGAAACACAAAAGAAAAGGACCUACAAAAACAAACCCCAAACAAUUAAGAAAAUGGUAACAAGAAAAUACAUAUCAAAUGUAAAUGGACUAAAUGCUCCAACCAAAAGACACAGACUGGCUGAAUGGAUACAAAAACAAGACCCAUAUAUAUGCUGUCUACAAGAGAACCACUUCAGACCUAGGGACACAUACAGACUGAAAGUGAGGGGAUGGAAAAAGAUAUUCCAUGCAAAUGGAAAUCACAAGAAAGCUGGAGUAGCAAUACUCAUAUUAGAUAGAACCUUAGCUAAGGAACUGCCCAAACCAAGUCAGGUUCUAUUGGGAUUUGCUAAGGAAUUUGAGUCGACCAUUCAGACCUAUGAGGCUGAGUUUUUCAGAUCUAUAUCAAUUAAUACAGCUGUCAGGUUCUGAAAGCAAAGGAAGGGAAUGGAUACAGAAAGCAAGAUGGAAACACCCCUUAAUGGAUUCUGGAUCACAGGUUCACAAUGAAUGCAAAGAAUUAGCUCAGAAAUUACUUGAACUUAUCCCAGCGCUUUUUUCAAAAACCGCAGACUGGACAAAGAUUCAGCAGUGCAAACAAAGACUGGAUGAAUCAAUUCCCAACUAUUAUGAAAGGUUUAAAAAAAAACUUUAAAGCAAUAUUCUGGCUUGACACUUGAAUCAUUCUUUAACCACCAUAAUGAUCCUUUGCUUAACUCCACCUUUUUAGGAGGCUUAGAUGAAGAUUUGGCUACUCUGGUCAAAAGACACAAUCUAGGUUGGUCCACAUUACAUACAAACACACUUGUAACACUGGUGGACCAACUUUUCAAGACCAUAUAAAAGAAAGAAAAGGGGAUAUCUAUGAAAAUUAUAAACCUUCAAUUGCGCCAGUUCAGUACUCAGUGCCAGCAGAAGGUUAACCAACCCCUGUUUAAUUCCCAACUGGUAGAGAAAGCUAGUUUGAAGAAAAAAAAACACACAAAAAAACACCUCUUCAGACCCUGAGGAAACAAGUCAUACUAGGAGAACUUGAUUUUCUCUCUCUGUGUCUUGAGACCAGAGCUGUCAGGAUCACUUAUCCUAUCUAGAUCAUCUCUAAUUCCUAAGACUUAAAAAAAAAAAAAAAAGGAGAAAAAAGUCUUCUUAAAUUAACCUAUUCCAACUGUUAUUUACAACUAUUGAGUUUUAUAUUGUGCUGAUUCAUGAUUAAGUUUAGAAAAUGAAGCUAUGAGAUCUCUUGUUGUAUCUGUCUAUAUGUUUAUAUGUGCAUUAUCUUUGUUUUUACCUUUGGAUGGUAUUAUCAAAAUUAACUUGUAAUUGAGCUCUACUGAAUUGGAUUAAAGAAGAUUAAGUGCUUAUGUAAAUUCUUGAAAAUGCAGAAGGUAACUGGCCAGAAUUAACUUCAGGUUCACAUGAACUGGAAAUAUUCUGUAUCCAAUUAAUACUUGGUAUUAAUGCUUAAGUUUAUUGAUUUCAUUAAUAUGGACAUGCCUUUAGAGUCAUCAACAGUAAGUAUAAUACUUUUAUUGUGCCUAGGUUUAAUAUAAGUUAAAUCAAAUCUUGUUAUAUCUGUUGCAAAUCUGUCAGCAAGGAUAGUAACUUUAUGUGAAGAAACUUUUAAGGAAAGAAAAUGUAAAUGAGAGGAGAUUUUAAGUAAACUCUAUUAAGAAUAAUUAUGUUUUAGGAAUGUCUAUCUAAAACAAUCUCUCCAUAUUUUGGCAACUUGAAAUUCUAGAGUAGUGCUAAAUUAAGUGAAGGAAGUUUAUUGAAUAGCUAGGUCAUUUCCAAAUAAAAUAAAAUACUGAAACACUAAUUACUGAAUACUGGCUUCCUCUUACAGAGAAACUAAACAUAUUUAGGACUAUUAAUGAGUAUGUUUGGUGCCACCCUGAGAUGUUCUCUAUAAGAAAGCAAAUGUUUUUAGAAAUUAUGACUGGUAUUUAUCUUCACCAAUCUACAGCAUGCUAAUGUAAAGGACAGUUCAUAAUUGCUUAAUUCUUAGCUUUCACAAAAAUUAGUGUUUUAUGAGCUGAGGAUUCUUAUUUAAACACGUAAUUAAAGCUAAUAGAAAUAAUAAAGGAAACAUUUCAGUAUACAGUGGGAAAGUAGGAUGUAUGUUUUCAGUAAAGAAGGCAUGAGGAAUGGAACUGCAUUUUAUUAAGGGAGAAGGAAGUAGGUCUGACUUAGAGCUGGCUGUUACUGGAUGGAAAAAUAAAGUGAUGAAUACAGAAAGUGAAAAAAAAAGGCUUGUGGAACGUGGACCCCAAGAAAAGAGUUUUGUGCAUGGUCAGGACUAAGGUUAAAAUAAAUUUGAGUAAAUGAAUUUUAAAAGUAAGCUGGUGCAAACCUUGAAUUUGGCCUUUCUCUCUGUUAACAGGAUAAGUUUUCUUAAGAUGUUGAACUCUGUUAACAGAUUUUACGUCUCUUUACCUCUUAAGUGAUCUGUUCUGUAUCUACCUUUCAAAUCUUUUAUUGUUACUUUGGAUAAAUGAAUAAUUAUUUUUUCAUUGUGACCUAUGAUCCUCUCUGAGUGUUCUAAACCCUUUUGAUAUUUUUUAUUUUGACAAAACUUCCUAAGUCAGAAUUUAAUGAAGUUCUUUUGACCUCUAGCUAAUUUGGGAUGCUUCAAAGGGCCCCUGAAACAUCCCAAAGAGCAAAAUUAAACUAAUUAGGUUCAUUUGGUAUGUCAAAUUACAUGAGAAGUAUUGUCAAAUGAGUAAUAAAUCUUCUUAGGUUAUACUGUAUGGUAAAUGUUAUUAAUAUAGAUAUUCUAGAAAUUAUAUGGAAUUCCUAAAAUUCUGAUAUGUCCUGGUAAAAUGUUAUCAGUCAUAAUUCUAGUUAUUAUCUUAAAGUGUUGUAUAUCACAGCAGUAAUCAAGUUACAUUGUCAACUGCACUGCAUUGUAAUUAAAUUUUAAAUAUGCCUUCUUAAGUCUUUGUCAUUACAGGAAGUUAUGGUUUUUAUUCUGAUCCCUUUGCAAAAUGCUUCCUCUUCAAGAAGAUUUAUAGAAAGGACUUUUGGAUAAACACAAGUCUCUGACUUUCAGACCAUAAUGCUAAACUGGGUAACAAAGUGAAGAAUUCUAAUGGAAAACAUGAUGGCUUCAUAAAAUGUUAACAAAAGGACUGAGUGAACUGAGACUGGAAGCUCAGGUUCCCAGCAACUUUAUCAGACAAAACAGGAAGGCUACCUCCUAACAUGUACAGAAAGCUCAAGAUCAGAUGCCCCAUGACCUGCAACCAGGGGAUUAUGCGUAAUGGAAAAGACAUAAUUUAAAGAACUAUCUCCAACCUAGAUGGAAGGACCCUUAUCAGGUACCCUUAACUAGCUCAUGCACAGUGAAACUGAAGGGAAUUGACUCUUGGGUUAGUUCCCACUUACAAAAGGCCCCUGCACGAGACUGGUUUACAGAGAGGACUAUUGACCUCAAACACACCUUAAAACAAUGCUCAUACAGAAGAAACUACCGUCCUGCUAAGACAAGAAGACGACAUCAGUAGAAGACAGCUAGCCCAAGAUCCUCGACCUGACUCAUAUGAUCAUCUGUAAUGUUUUCUUGACUUCUUGGACCUUUGUGAAUCAAAUGUUUUUCUUUCACGGACAUUACCCUAUGCUAGUUUUAAAAAUCAAUCCAAUUGUUGGGUUUGUGGCCAAUUACCUAUGUCUAGUACUUCUGGGUUACAUUGGUGGACUUCUCCACUCUAAGGCUUUAAUUGGAUGGCCCUUAGGAAAUUUAUUCUAGAAGAAAGAAAUUAUAGUCCUGUUCAGACAACUAUUGGUAUACUAGGUAGGAUCCCCUCACUUAGCCAAUUAAUAAUACCUGCUCUGACCCUGACCAUAAAUAUGAAUUUUCGUGUAAAGUAACUCAAGCUCACUCAGAGCAACAAGCAAAAUUUCAGCCAAGGAAUUAAACCUGCCACAGUUAUGGGAUGGGUUUAUGUGGUUAACAUCAGGCUACGGUCAUUUAGUUUUAAGGUCCCCCUUUAUCUUGGGAACAAUUAAAUUAUACUAAGGAUAACCAGCCUAGUAACAUUAGGAAAUUGGACUGGGAGCCUUAUGGCCAGUGCCAAUAUAUAAUUUCCAUGGAAGAUAAGGACUGGUACAGAACAGACUAAGUCAAAUGACCUGGGGAUAUACUGGGCUGCACCUAAUGGAAGUUCUUGGCUUAAUUCUUACUUAUGACUUUAAUAAUACUGCUAGCUAUGCUAUCUGUAUUCUGCCCAUUUUACAAGAUUGCUGUUUCUUGCAUUACCAAAUGUGUGACUGAGCCUCCAACAAAAAUAUAUAAUUCUGUAUGAAAUCAAUGAUCGUAAUAGUGUAAUUCUAGAUAUGGGAAGAUGCAAUAAGAGGGAAUUUUUCCUGGCCUGUAACAGACUAGUAAGACAGGUGGUCCAGAGACUUUUGGGUACUGUUAGUGAGGCCUAGUCCAGUAAUAGCACACUGAGUGGCCUAUCAGUGAAAUCUUUGCCAGACCUGAGGAUGAGCCUUCCUAGCACUGUGGGAUAAAAUGGUCAUGAAAUGCCUCCCAAACCAUGGUCGAAUUUAUGACCAUGAGCUGGCCCUGUCACCCUCAAAUUGGCACCUGCCAUCUACCUCUACAAGGAUCAAAUUAUAAGUCACUAUAGCUGCUGACCUUCAACACCCCCUGAAAGGAGUUCAGGGUGGAGACCAGGAACGAGGCACUCUGUGCUCUGGGAAAAACAGGCAGAACAGGCCUUCAGACAGUUAGAUAUUUUCAGGAGAUGAUUUAUGAGCCCAAUUCUUGCAUCUCCUCAGAUCUAGAAAACCACUAAAAUCCUUCAUGGUAACAUCUGCUCCUCGUGACUAGCAGUAACAUAACCUCCACAAGAGUAGCAGAAACCUUCUGCAAAACAAUAUGUGCUUGAUUACAUGUAGUCCCCUUUAGCAAAAUCACAUAUAUACUGACCUCCUCCCCUUCCUCUUUGGAGCAGUUUCUCAGAGCUAUCUGAAAUGCUAUCUCCUGGGCUAUAGUCCUCAUUUUGCCCCAAAUAAAACUUAACUCACAACUCUCAUGUUGUGCAUUUUUUUUCAGUCAACAAACUCUUAAAACACCAAAUUCGUGGCUGGAAUAAUGCUAAGAAUGCCUACUACUGAGCUAGUA